UGGGGGAUGAAGUUCAAAUAUGGGUUCGACCGGAAGUGAUGGAGCUUGGAGUUUUACCAUCAUCCCCCCAGAUAAAAUUUCUAUUGAGAUGUUAUCACGUUUGCUCCAGUAUGCUGAAGAUUUGGGUGAGCGUGGAUAUCCAAGAAUGAGUUAUGAUACAUGGAAGCAUAUAGCUGUUAAAAAGAUGUGUAUAUCUGUAGAAUGUGGAAUGGUUGUCUUCUUUUCCUGUCUGCUGUUUUCAAAGUUGCAGCCUGGUAGGGAUAGAGAAUUGGAGGCAUCACUAGCAUCAGCAUUAUCACAAAAAGAAAGAG